rnacentral:tRNA from 1 species
UCCCUGGUGGUCUGGUGGCUAAGACUCCACACUCCAAAUGCAGGGGGCCUGGGUUCGAUCCUCGGUCAUGGAA